CCCGGGGUCCCUUUUCAGUUUAAAACAAAGCGGAAAAGCGUCUGAAAUUUUUUUUUUUUUUGAAAACCUGACCCCAGAGUAUGCCAGAUCCGCCACAAAUACAGGGAAUCCACUGUUCACACGGACAGAGUCUCCCCUGUAUUUGCACGGCGUCGCACAAGUACAAGAAGUCACCCAAGCACAACCACAACAAAUGAACAUACAAAUAACCAACCGUUAUAUAUAUUCAUACGCCAUUCACCACAGAUUCACAUGUAUGCAUAAAUCCACACCUAUCAGUUAAAAUAUUUCCAACCACAGAAACAGGUUUUGAAAUACUAAGAUGCAAAAUCCACAGAAAGCUUUUUGAAAACUGUUUCCUACACGGAAACCUUUAUUCUUUAAAAAUGCUACCACGAGGGGUAGAAAAUAUUUUACUUUACAAAAUCCAGAAAUCCGUUUAUUACAUUCACGAAAAUCCAUAUUUUCAAAUGUAAUAAAAAAUACUGAACCAUAUAACUAUCUAAGCUAUAACAACUGAAAUAAUAAGGGUAAUAACUAUACCGAAAUAACCUGGGUCGGAAGCUCUAUCGACCGCUACACACGUACCUCACGUCUCGUCCCACUACUCAUCGCCCGCGAUACCUGAAAAAUGGUGGGGGAGGUGAGAACAUGUAAACAUGUCUCCCCUCCCAGUGGGUACCGCAAGCCGAAGAAGGCGAGGAGUACUCACCGGAUCAGGAAGAACUAUACAACAACAUGGGUCAGUGGAAAUAAACAAGGUAAUGAGCAGAUAUACAAUAGCGAUAAACUGAAAGGAAGUAAGAACUAUACUGAAUAAACGGCUACCGCUACUGUAACUGGAACAGAAAGCAUACAUGAAUAUCUACUAUAGUAGCAAGACAACUAUAAAGUAAGAUCUGUAAGUAUGCAUGCAACGACUGCUACUAUAAACAUAUGCGUCAAUGGGACAAUCAGUCCAAAAGUACCCAAUCUGAAACCAAUGCUCUCUUGGUCAGCACCGCAGACCUCAAGCCAAUGCCCUGGAGGUCCGCACCGCAACACCUCCCGACAGUACCACUGCCGCUCUAACAUGCAUAUAACCCCUCUAGGGCUCACGGGUUGUCACCAUUCAACCACUUUUCCGGAAAAGAACACUCCUUGCGGUGGAUCAGACCGCCAGUGUUCGUGAAAUGCGACGAGUAUCGGGCGAUCAAUGCAAUAUGGUCAAUGAUCAACCGUCGGCAACCAGCCGACAAUCCUGCCCCCCAGGGCCUAUCGACCGCAUAGGUCAUCAACUGUAAAGAAGCACAAGAACCGACCACUCAGGUCAACUAGGAUGGGACAACAUCGACAUCCUCUCAAACAUAUGCAAAUACUGACUAAUCAAGUCAACUGGGAUGGAACAACUCAACAUCCUACCCACAGUAUGUAGAUACUGAUCAAUGAGUCAACUACUGUAUAUAUGCAAGAAUCGGUCAACAAGUCAUCUGAGUAUAUGAUCUAGAACUACCGUCGGCCACUAGUCGACAAUCCUACCCCUCAGGGUACACCGACCUCAAAGGUCAUCAAACAACAAGAGUCAAGGAACAAACCGACUAUAUACAGAUAUAAGAUACAAGAACGAAUCAACUAGGUCACCGAUUUCACAUAAAAUCACGAAACCGCUCUACUCUAAACAUGAUACAGGAUAUGCAGAAUAGCUAAGUAGAGCAACAAAGAAAUAUGGUAUAACUACUCUACUCCUACUCAUGAUAUAAAGAGAACAACCGAGUAGAGUGUAACUGAACAACAUGGUGCUAGGCUCAACACUAUAUAUCAAGAUAUAUAUAUGCUAGAUAAUAACGAAAGAGCAAAGGUAAGAAACCAUCACCGAGCGUGCACCACUGUACCGACGUCGGAUCGAAGUACCCACCUGUACAACUGUCGCGCCUGUCUCCUGACUGCAAAAGAACGUCAACAGGACCUAUGGAGGGUCCACUGGGUUAGUGUCUAACCCACAACUAAGAAAUACUACAUCGUAAUCCCGCUAACAAACCCACGGAGAUCAGUUUCCCAAAACCGACUACCGUAACUCGCCGGAAGUCCCAAAAAUCGCACCGGGACUCCGUCGGGACCCACGAACUGUCCCGAAAUGUUCCAACUCAGGAUACGAGUCACCCGCUGACACAAAACACACCAAUUUGGAUGUCUUGGCAGAAAACACAAGUUAACACAACUACACAAUUAUCGCCGGAUAAUUGUACGAACUCGGGUUCCCGAAAGUGUCAAAUUCGACACCGGAACCCACCGUCGCUCACUCGUCAUUUCUGAACUCUCGAAAUGACGCAAGUGGCCAGAAAACAAGGCUCGGCGACUACACAAUAGCUCACGAAGCACCGUCGGAAUAAUUCCGAACCGAACCCGCGUUCUAUCGGCGGAUUUCGCCGAAAAACGCAUCGAAAAUCACUUUUCGAUUUUCGCAAGGGCUUGGGGCCUUGGACGAUCAGUCCAGAGGUUAUCCUUAGCCCAAACGUGCUGCCAACAGCAUCUACAUCGAAGCAAAAGUCCUAAAAGCCCAUACCGAUACAUGAAAUCGCAUCAUUUCAUGUGAUUUCUAGGCUUUUCUGGACCGUGCACGCAAACCAGAGGUCGAUUAAUCCGACCGUCGCACUCGCUGACAGGUUUCAUCAUGUCGGAGGCCGUGCUCACCUUUCGGAGCACUGCCGACCACUGCGGUGCGCGCACGAGCGACACGAAAUCUGUGAAACAGUGCGCACAGCGCGAAGGUCGCGACUAACUUGCUAACCAGGGCAUCUUUGCCGCUGUCGGAGGUGAGCACGAUGUUCAGCACGAACCCUAGAUCAUCGUGCUCACUUCUCGAGGUGUCGGGGAGUCAUCGGAUCACCAGAAAGGUGGCCGGAAAGCUUAAAUUGCAAUGCUGGAACUCAAAAACAGCAUACCGGAGCAGUGGGAGCUAGGGUUGGUCGCCGGCGGCCGGGAGGCGGGCACUCUGGCCGGGGAUGGGAGCAGCCGGUCCGAGAGGUCCGGGGAGGGUGCUGGCCGGCGGCGGGCGGCAACCGGUGGCGCGGCGGAGGAGAUCGACUCCGCCCAUUCCCUCUCGGGUUCGUGCUUCCCGGCGGCGCGGCGGCGGCCGGAGGAGGUCGGGGCGGCUACGGUGCGGCGCCGGAGGCCGAGGGGAAAGUGGUGUACCCCCCGGUGGGCGGCGGCGGCACUUGGAUGUCGAGCGGGCCCGACCUCGGCCCGCACAGGUCUGGGUAGCUGCAGGAGAUCUCAGCGGCGGCCGGCGGCGCGCGGGGACGGCGGGGGACGCGCGCGCCGGGUUGUCGGAGGUCGCCGGGGCCGACUGGAGGGCGGCACGGCCGAAGUAAGGCGAGGACGCAGAGUUCGAGCUGGCUCGGUCUGGGUUGACCCGAGUUGGCCGCAGGGAGCGGGGGUGGAUCCGGUGGCGCUCGGGGGUGGUCGGGGCCGACGAGGGAGGACGACGGAGAUGGACCUCGGCCAGAGGAUGAUGCUCCAAGGGUGAAAGAAGCUUCCUUCGCAGCUUCGGCGAAGUCGGAGGAGAGGGUGGCCGAGAGAGCAAGAGAAGAGGUCGGGGUGGCUUUUCCGGCGGCCGGGGCAGCUCGCCGGCGGCUGGGGCGUGCGCGCGGGUUGGGCAGGGAGAAGGUGGGGCGGCUAGGGCUCGGUUCGGCUGAGGAGAAAGCCAAAAGCUAGGGUUUCCUCACGAAACCCUAGUGCAACUACUAUUUACAUAUGUACAAUUGCAAGAUAGUCCUCCCAGGGAUAAUAUUCUCAGUCAAGUCCCUCACAGCAUGUGUAUUUUACACAUACGCACCUCCAUGUCCGAUCUCAAGCAAUUCGGCACAUAAAAUAUUAGAUCUUUUCGCGAUUUAACCGUUUUGCCAAUUUGACCUCUUAGCGAUAACUUUGCAAUUACCGGAGAUCCGUCCGUCGGAUUUUCGAUCCGACUGUGCCAUCGCGUUCAGUACAACGGGGGCAUCGAAACUACGAUUUCGUUUCAUCCAAUUUGGUCACGGAUUCGCGACGGAACCCAUCUGCUCUCUAAUUAAUCCAUAUAUCGUACGUAUACCAAUGUGUAAACCCAUUAAACCAACUUUCGUAUUAGAAAUUGACUUCCCUACCACUAGUAGGGACCCGAAACAUUCUUCACCCUACUCCAGGUCACAAGCACGGGGCACGAGAAGCUUUAGAAUGCACAGAAAAGCAAAGAGCGGAAACCCUCUUUUCGGUAAAACUCCUUUUUCUCGAAAAUCGUGCAUCAGAUCUGAAAUCCGUCAGUGCCAUUGGUUCCAGAACAGCUGAACCGAUCGAAACGAGCUAUUGGAUCGCUAUGAACGGAGUCCGAUAAGCGCCGAAAGCCAACUCUACUCCGUGGCUUCACCGAAAAACUGGAGUUACUAUUCACUUAAGUGAAAACUAAUAAUCACGUAACUUCUCCGUUCUAGCUCAUUUUCUCCUGAAACUUGACGAGUGCUUAUGUAAUUAAAUUACACACAUAAAUAUCGUCAACAGAGAGUUUAGUUGCACUGUAAAAAUCUCAAUCCUUACAGCUCAACGUGGGUUUGCCAAUAGAUCUGCCGCAUACACAAGAAGCCUUGUGUAUACGAAGCGAUAGUAGUACUUGUAAAGUAUAAAAGAACAACUAUAAGCAAGUAAUAGGAUUGUAAAAAACUGCUAAAACUAAAACAUGAUCCACUGUACAUACAUAAGAUCUAGGGAGUACAAUAAAGAAAUCCAAAAGUACAAACAUCAUCUCUCGCAAUUGUAAAAUAAUAUAUAUAUAUAUAUAUACGUAUAAUAUAUAUAUAGAACGUUCGGCUACUAUGCUUAUCGUAGCACGAGCGCUCCGUGCUACCAAGUUGUUUUCGAUGAUGCGGCUUUCUGAUCGACGAUCGGCUCCGUUAGACUUGAUCGAACACUAUUGAAAGUAUUUGAAACUAAAUUUCAAAUUUUUUCGACAUCAUUUGACUAGUGAUCAAAAGAUCUCAAAAUUGACAAUUUUAAUGGCCGAUGUGGGUGUGUUUGUGAGUUAACGGUGUAAAAAUAAUCCAAAUGCGAUGAAAAAUUUAUAUAAAAAUUCUUUUCACUAUUUAGAGUAAGAUCAGUAUAUCUUUUUUGAAUUAAUCUUUUUAUAUCAUUUUUCUAUGAGAUUUUUAUUUUCAGCCGUUCAAUUUUAGACCUACUUGUUUGAUAGGUAAAUAAUAUUCCGAAAACACACUUAUGAACACUUAUUUCUAAAUACUUUCCCACAUAGUAUAGAUUCAAGCUCAACCGGAGCCGAUCGGUCGACUUCUGGAAGUAGCAUCAUCGAAAACAACUUGGCAGCACGGAGCGCUCCGUACUAUCGAUAGUAUAGUAGCCUAGCUCAUAUAUAUAUAUAUAUAUGUAUGUAUGUAUAUAUGUAUAGCAUAGUACUAAUAUAAUAAUAUAGAUAUAUCUAUAUAUAUAUAUGUAUACAUAUAUACAUACAUAUAAUAUAGAUAUAUGUAUAUAUAUUAUAUAUGUAUUAUAUAUAUAUAUACAUAUAUAUAUUACUAUAUAGAUAUAUUAUAUAUGUAUAUAGAUAUAUUACAUAUAUGUAUAUAGAUAUAUCACAUAGAUAUAUAUAGAUAUAUAUAUAUAUAUACUAUAUAUAUAUAUAUACUGUAUAUAUAUAUAUAGUAUGUUAUAUGAUUAUAUCUAUAUCUAGAUUGUAGGAUAUACAUAUAUAUAUAUAUAUAUAUAGUAUAUACACAAUAUAACAUAUAUAUAUAUAUAUUACAUAUAACAUAUAUAUGUAUAUCUACAUACAUAUAUACUAUAUGUAUAUCUACAUAUAUAUAUAAUAGUAUAUAUAUUAUUGUAUAUCUAACAAUAUAGAUAUAUAUGUAUAUAUAUAUAUAUAUUAUAUAUAUAUAUACUGUAUGUAUAUAGUAUAUACUAUAGAAAUUUAAAUAUUCUGUAUAUUAUAUAUAUAUACAGGAUAUACAUAUAUAUAUAUAUAUGUAUGUAAUAUAUAGUAAUAUAUAGUAUAUCUAUAUAUAUAUAGGGUAGUUAUACCAGAUAUAUAUAACCUACCUAUAAUCAUGUAUAUAUAUAGGUAAUACAUAGGUAGGUUAAUACAUAUAUAAUAUAGUAGAAGGUGGUAUACAAUAUAUUAGGGGGGGGGUAGGUUAUAUAACCUACCUAUAUAUAUAUAUAUAUAUAUUAGUUUAGUAUUAAUAUUUAUAUAUAUAUAAUAUAUAUAUACUAUAUAUAUUUAUAUAAUUAUAUAUUAUAACCUACAAUCUAUGAUAUAUAUAUAACCUCCUAUAUAUGGUUAUAUAUAUAUAUAAUAUGUAUAUAAUAAUAUACCUAAUCUAUAUAUAUAUAUAACCGAGUUGGGCUGGGGUGCUUUCGGAAAGAAGCACGGAGCGCUUCCGUGCUUCCACUUUGUUUUCCGAUGUUCGGACUUUCGAAUCGACGAUCGGCUCCGUUAGAGUUGAUCUACGAGCUAUUUAAAGUACCAAGAAUUAAAUUUUGCGAAUUUUUCGAUAUCAUUUGCCUUAAGUGAUCCGAAGGGGCUUCAAAAUCAAUAAUUUUAACGGCCGUGGUGAGCCAGUUUGCAAGUUUAACGGUAUAGAAAUAUCCCAAAUCCACGGAAAAUUUUGAUAGAAUUCUUUAUUACCAUAUAAAACAAGAUCAAUACUUUUGUGAUCUAAAUUUUAAUGGUCGAUAUCAUCAUAUUUUGGUGAGAUUUUUAUUUUCAGCCGUUAUUUGAGCCACUUCGAUCACUAGGGCAAAUGAUAUCGAAAAAUCGCAAAAUUUAUUUUCUAGAUACUUCAAAUACCUAGAUCAAGUCAUAAACGGAGCCGAUCGUCGAUUUGAAAGUCCCAACAUCGGAAAACAAAGUGGAAGCACGAGCGCUCCGUGGCUUCUGAAAGCACCCCCAGACGCUACUCAUAUUAACUUACCUAUAUAUGUAUAUAGUAUAUAGGUAGGUUAUAUUAUAAUAUAUAUACAUAUAUAGGUAGGUUAGUAUAGUAUAUACUAUAUAGGAGUUAUAUAUUAUAUAUAUAGUAGGUAGGUUAUACAUAUAUAUAUAGUUAGGUAGGUUAUAUUAUAUAUAAUAUAAGAUAUAUAUAUAGGUAGUUAGGUAGAUGUAUAUAUAGUAUAUAUAUGAACUAUAUAUAUAUAACUAUAUUAUAUAUAUAUAGGUUAAGUUAUGUAUAUAUAUAUUAUAUAUAUAUUAUAUAUAUAUAUAUAUAUAUAUAGUAUAUAUAUAGUUAGUAGUAUAUAUGUAUAUAUAUAUAGGGUAGGUAGAUGUAUGUAUAUAGGUAGGUUAUAUAUAUAGUAUAUAUAUAUAUAUAUAUAUAUAUAUAUAUAUAUAUAUAUAUAUAGAUAUAUAUAUAUAUACAUAUAUUAUAAUAUAUAUAUGUAUAUACAUAGUAUAUAUAUAUCUAGUAUAUAUAUAUAAUAUAUAUAUAUAUAUAUAUAUAUAUAUAGUAUAUACUAUAAUAUAUAUAUACAUAUAAUAUAAUAUAUCUAUAUUAUAUAUAGUAUAUAUAAUAGUAGGUAGGUUAUAUACCUGAUAUAUUUAUAACCAACAUAUAUAUUAUAGGUUGUUAUACAUAUAUAUAUAUAGUCAUAACCUACUAUAUAUAGUAGUUUAUAUACUAUAUAGGUAGAUUAUACAUAUAUAUAUAUAGGGGUAGUUAUAUAUAUAUAUAGAGAGUAGUUAUACAGAGUAUAUAGGUAGGUUAUAACCUACCUAUAUAUGUAUAUAUUAUUAUAACCGUACAUCGUAUGUAUAUUAUAACCCACCUAUAUAUGUUAUAUAUAUAUAUGUAUAUUGUAGGUAACUACGUAUAUAUAUAUAUAGCUAUAUAUAUAUAUAUAGUAUAUAUAUAUUAAGUAUACAUAUAGUAUAUAUAUAUAUAACUACAGUCGUAUAAUUAUAUAACCUACCGUAUAGUAUGUAUAGUAUAUAUAGGUAAUACAGAUAAGUAUAUAUAUAUAUAUAUAUAUAUAUAGUAUAUUAGUAUAUAUAUAUAUAUAGGAUUAUAUAGUAGUAUAUAUAUAUAUAAUACGUAUAUAUAGUUAUAUAUAUCUGUAUAACCUACCUAUAUAUAUAUAUGAUAUAUAUAUAUAUAAAUAUAGAUAUACUAUAUAUGUAUAUAGAUAUAUCUAUAUAUAGCAUAUAUAGAUAUAUCUUAUAUAUAUAUACAUAUAUACAUAUGAUAUAUAAUAUAUAUAUACAGUAUAUAUAUAUAUAGUAUAUAUAUAUAUAUAUAAUCUUAUAUGUAUAUAUGUAUAUAUAUAUAGAUAUAGUCUAUAUAUGUACUAUAGUAUAUAUAUGGAGUCGGUACUAUACUAUCGGUAGCACGGAGCGCUCCGUGCUACCAAGUUGUUUUGAUGAUGCGGCUUCCAAAUCAACGAUCGGCUCCGUUAGACGUUGAUCUACACUAUUGAAAGUAUUUGGAAACUAAAUUUCAAGGUUUUUUUUACAUCAUUGACUAGUGAUCAAAAGAUCUCAAAAUUUGACAAUUUUAAUGGGCCUAUGUGGUGUUUGUGAGUUUAACGGCUGUAAAACAAUCCAAAUGCGGAUGAAAAUUUUAUAGAAUUCUUUUCACUAUAUUAGAGAAAGAUCAGCAUAUCUGAUCUUGGAAUUUAAAUCUUUAUCAUCCAUUUUUUAUGGAGCAUUUUUAUUUCAUGCCGUUCAAUUUGUGAGGGCUACUUGUGUUGGUAGGUUAAAUGGUAUUGAAAAAUUAUAAAAUUUAGUUUUCUAAAUACUUUUUUAAAUGAGUGUAGAUCAAGUCUAACGGAGCCCGGAUCGUCGAUUUGGAACCGCAUCAUCGAAAACAACUGGUAGCACGAGCCGCUCCGUUGCUACCGAUAGUAUAGUCAGCCUAGCUUAUAUAUAGUAUAUAUAGGUAUAUAUAUAGUAUAAGUAUAGUAAGUAUAUAUAUAUAUACAUAUAUAUGUAUAUAUAAUAUACAUAUUUAUGUUAUAUAAUAUACAUAUAGUAUGUUAUAUAAUCUAUAUAUGAUACUAUAUGUAGUAUAUUUUGUAUACAUAUAUAUAUGUUAUAUAUGUAUAUACAUAUAAUAUAAUAUAUAUAUGUAUAUUAUAUGUAUAUAUAAUAGUAUAUAUGUAUAUGUAUAUGUAUAUAUAUAUAUAUAUUAUGUAUAGUAUAUAUAUGUAGUAUGUAUAUGUAUAUGGUAUAGCUUAUAUAUAUUAUAUAUAUAGUAUUAUAGUAUAUAUGUAUAUAGAUGGGGUAUACAUUAUAUAUAAUGUAUAUAUAUCAUGAUAUGGUAUGGUACUCCGUGCUGUAUAGUAUAUAUAUAUAUGUAUGGUAUAUAGUAGUAAAUAUAUGUAUGUAUAAUAUAUAUGUAUGUAUAUAUAUAUAUAUGUAUAUAAUAUAUUAUGUAUACAUAACAUAUAUAUAUAGUGGUUAGUACGAGUGUUUGAUUAUUAAGAGUAGAUAGUGUAGAGGUACAUAUGAUUGAUAAUUGUAUAAGAGGGGAUACAGGAUAUAUAUAGUAUGUAUAGUGAUAUAAUAUUNNNNNNNNNNNNNNNNNNNNNNNNNNNNNNNNNNNNNNNNNNNNNNNNNNNNNNNNNNNNNNNNNNNNNNNNNNNNNNNNNNNNNNNNNNNNNNNNNNNNUUAUUUAUAGACUUUAGAAUCAAUCGGAGUCGAAUUAGAAAGUUUUCACGGUUUUACACUGUGUACUGGUACACUUUAAGCUGUUACCGGUUACACGAUGACGGAACGAAAAACCUGACGAAACAGUGAAACCGGUUACAUCCUUGAUGGUCGUACUGGUACACAUUUUGUACCGGUACACUUCUGAUGCUGUACCGGUACACUUUGCAAAUUUCCGCCGUUUCGGGUUUUGCAAAGUCCCAAUGCACUUUCUAAUUCGUUAGACAUUGAUAACAUGAUUCUAAUGUCUACAACUAAGUAUGAAUCACCAUAACAUGAAUUUAUACUUUACCUGAGCAUCGUGAUUCAUAUCGUGAGUUAUUUUCCAACUUUUUCAAAAUCCUGAUUUCUUCGAUCUUCGACGAUAUGCACUGGUUCUUCAAGACUCCGACUCACUUCACGAAACUUGCCAAUACACAAGACUUAACAACCUUAGGCCGGUUGGACUAUAGGAAAUAGGCUCGUGAGAGACGAGGUCUAUUUGACUUGUGAGCGAAAGUAUCAUGAUUGGGUAUCUUGAUAACUCUAUAAAGUUGGAGUUGAUCGAAGUGUAUGACUUCUAACUUCGCGGAGGGUUACGUUGGCGGCCGACAACGUAACAUCGGGAGUUAGUGGUGAAGAACACUUCCUUACUUUCGCAUGAUUUGGGUAUUAUCUUUUGAGCGGGGGUUCGAUAGCGUGGGUUUACUAACUUGCGCUUUUAUGAUGUUGUAGUGACGAUGCCGAUUACACGCUCUCAAUCUACCAGAGCGGAUAAUGCGGCAAACUUGGAGGAGGUCGAGACCUCCGCUACCUCCGGAUCCGGUGAGGUCCGUGAGUUGAGGGGCCAGCUUGCGGCCCUCACUGAUAUGGUGGCACAGCAGACAGAGGCAGCGCGCCGGCAGGAGGCGCGGAUGAAGCGCCUGGAGGACCUUCUUCUGCAACAGGCGGCAGCUUCCAGGGAAACUCAGGCCCCUACACCGCCAGCACCAGUCGUGGACGUCACGCCGAGAGCGCCAUCCCCCGCGCCCAGUUCUUCGUGAGCAGCGCCCAUGGCCGCGCCUCAGGAGGAGGCUAUCGCGGCACCACCUGUGCAGAGGCCCCCAGUUGGAGCAGCUUUCCCUACCUUGGUCGAGGGAGUGGAGCGGGACCGACUCAUGGAGCGCCUCAACGAGUUCAGGAGGUGCAGUCCCCGAAUCUUCGACGGCGAGAAGGUCGACCACUGGAUCGUAGAGAAGUGGUUGAUGCAUAUGGAGAAGCUCUUUCGCGACACCUUCGUGGAGGAGAGGGAUCGGGUUUGGCUCGCCACACACCACCUGGACGGCGAGGCCUAUCGCUGGUGGUUGGAUCUCCAGGAGCACCCCAGCACUGAUUUGGCAGCUAUUACUUGGAAGAGGUUCAAGGAGCUUCUUUUGGCGCAUUACUUCCCGACUAGCGUCAAGAGGAAGAUGGAGCAGGAUUUGCGCAACUUGCGCCAGGGAGACAGGACAGUAGCCGAGUACGAGCGGGAGUUUUCUCGGCUUUUACAUUGCGUGCCUUUCGUCGUGCGGGACGACGAGGACAAGGCCCGCAUCUUCGAGCGAGGGUUGCGACCGUCGAUCUUCCGGUUUGUGCAAUCCUCUAACCUCCAAACCUACCAGGAGGUGGUGGAUCGCGCGCUCAUCGUGGAGAGCGGCACGGCAGAUGUCCAAGAGCGGCGAGAGGCUAUGGACAAGGGUAAGGCCAAGAGGCCUGCGGCUGAGGGUGCGAGCCAGACGCACUCUAGGAGGCCGCCGAAGCAUCCUAGGAGCCAGCAGCGUGGGCGUGGCUCGGCGACUCACCAUGGAGGUUCUGACCGACGCCGACCUCCCCAGUGCGUGAUCUGUGGUGGCCCCCACAUUCCACCGCAGUGCCCGCAGCGAGGAGGGAGGUGUUUCCAGUGUGGCCAGGAGGGCCACUUUCGGACCGAGUGCCCGAGGGGUUCGUCACCGGCACCGUCAUCUGCAUCGGCACCGGCUCUACCAGCCGCCAGCCACGGGACUCCAUCAGCGCAGUACCAGCUCGGGCGGCCACCCGCCCAGCGCCAGAGCGAGGGUUCUCGACAGGCCCCGAGUGGGCGUAUGUAUGCCGCUCAGACCGAGGAGGCGGCAGCAGCCGAGGAUGUGGUCGCAGGUAUCAUUUUUACUUGAUGCAUUAGAGUUCGUGCAUUAUUUGAUACCGGUGCAUCGCAUUCAUUCAUAGAUCGGCUGUUUGCCGAGUUGCAUGGCAUCCCUAUGUUUUCUUUGUUGCAUCCGGGACGUGUAGUUGUCCCUGACCACUCUUUGGAUAUUAGAGAGUAUUGCCCCAGUUGCCCUAUUCGGGUAGGAGAUUGGAUUAUGUCCGUGGACUUGCUAGCCUUGCGCAAGCUGGGGGAGUUUGAUGUGGUCUUAGGCAUGGAUUGGUUGACCAAGUUUUAUGCCACGAUAGAUUGCAAGAAUCGCACGGUUACUUUUAGAGAACCGGGGCAAGUUGAGGUGAUAUUUAGAGGAUGCCAGAGUUCGCUUUUUGCGAUGACGAUCAGCUCGUCUCGAGCUAGGCAACUGAUCAGCAGAGGUUGUGUAGCCUACUUGGCUAGUGUUGUGUUGAGGGGCGAGGGUGAUACCCCGAGGAUUGAGGAUAUUCCGGUGGUACGGGAGUUUUGUGACGUGUUUCCAGCUGAGCUACGGGGCAUGCCACCCGAUAGGGAGAUUGAGUUUGUGGUAGAUCUCAUCCCUGGGACUACUCCAAUCUCGAAAGCGCCCUAUAGGAUGUCACCGGCGGAGCUGAAGGAGCUGAGGGCACAGCUGCAGGAUCUUCUGGAUAAAAGCUUCAUUCGACCGAGCGUCUCGCCUUGGGAAGCACCAGUUUUGUUCGUCAAGAAAAAAGACGGAUCACUUCGCCUAUGCGUGGACUAUCGCGAACUUAAUAAAGUCACGAUUAAGAAUAAGUAUCCGUUGCCGAGGAUCGACGACUUGUUUGAUCAGCUUCAGGGAUCGUGUGUGUAUUCCAAGAUCGAUUUGCAGUCGGGAUACCACCAGUUAAAGAUCAAACCCGAGGAUGUAUCGAAGACGGCUUUUAGAACCCGGUAUGGACAUUAUGAGUUCACUGUUAUGCCGUUCGGGCUUACUAAUGCCCCCGCAGCUUUUAUGGAUCUAAUGAAUCGUGUUUUUAAGCCUUAUCUAGACAGGUUCGUCGUGGUGUUCAUAGACGAUAUUUUGGUUUAUUCCCGAAGUGAUACAGAUCACGAGGAGCAUUUGAGGCUUGUACUUCAAGUACUUCGGGAAAAGGAGCUCUAUGCCAAGCUAAAAAAGUGUGAAUUUUGGCUUCGAGAGGUAGCUUUUCUUGGACAUUUGAUUUCAGGAUAGCUGUGGAUCCUAAGAAGAUUGAAGCAAUCAAGGAUUGGCCGAGACCGACGAGCGUCACGGAGAUACAGAGCUUCCUUGGAUUGGCCGGGUACUACCGGAGAUUUGUUGAGGGGUUCGCCAAGCUGUCUACUCCCCUCACGAGGCUCUUAGGAGAGACCGGUCUCCCAGGGACCGGUCCCUCAGGUGAGGACCGGUUCCCGAACGCGAAAAGUCCCCAGACUGCAGGGAGAGCUCUCGGGGACCGGUCCCUUGUCGGGGAGACCGGUCCCUCUGGGCGAAAACAGCCCAGUGAUAGCAGGUUGAGAGAUGAAAAGUUGAGGGGCUAAAGUAGAUUUUGUUACAAUAGAGGGGCAUAUUAGCCCACUCCCCCUCUCAGCCUCUCAUUUCUCUCUCUCCCUCACUCUCAUUUCUCUCUCGCUCUUUCUCUCUCUAAAAAGGAAAGGAGAAAAAGAAGAACAAGAAGGAGAGGAAGGAAAAGAAGAAGAAGAUAAGGAAGGAGAAGAAGAAGGAGAUCAAGAGGAAGGCUUUGAGCACCUCCAUCUCCCUCUCCUCUUCUCUUUGGUGUAGCUCGUGAGGUAAGCUACUAAACCCUAGCUUCUAGAACUUAGGGUUUUGGGUUUUUAUGCUUUGGAGUGGGUCAAAUGGACCCUAGGCAAGCUUCUAAGUAGAUCAAUCCCUUGAUUCUAGGGUUUUAUCGGUGGGUUGCUAUAUGUGCAACCUAGGGCUCCAAAUGGGGCAUUUUGUAAAGUAUGAGAUUGAUCUCAUUUGAGGCCUUGUAAACCCCAUCGAUAGGUGCCCAAACGCGGGGGCGAAGUCGAUUUCGCGAUUCGUCAAGCGGGCUUAGAGCAAUCGGCGGAUUACGGUCGUUUCGGCGCUAUCUUGGAUUAGGGAAGGCUAAAGCCUUUUCGUAAAGCUCGCCGAGGAGCGUUCUUGAGGCCUCUACGUUGAUAAAAGGUGGGGGGUGUCAUCCCGAAGCUUUCGAACUCCUUUCUAUGUCUUAGAUUGCAUUUAAUCUCAUCUCUUCAUGUUGCAUUGUAGGAUUGCAUAGUAGCUCCAUUCCUUAUGCUUUCUAAAUGAUAACCUAGUGUACUUGGAACGCUUGGUAACUUAGAUAGGUGAGGAUUGGGUCGGAACGUGGAUCCUAUGAUGUAAAAGAAAAGAGGUGAACCCGAUGGGGGUAUUGAUGACAUAGAAGGUAGUGUUAGUGUUAAAGAACACAUGAGUGGCAUCCAAAUGUUAAAUGAUGACGAGUGGCAUUAAUGUAGUGUAUAUGACACUAGAGGUUUGAGAACCUAGGGAUAGGUGGAUCCCUUAGAAAAUGCCUUGUGAACAAUGAAUUUAGAAAACUAAAUAGCAUUGCAUGAAUGUCGGGAACCGAUGAUUCCGCGAUAGUCGUUGACCCUAGUGUAGGGCGUCCUCACUUGGAGAGGAUUCGAUUGGGUUAUUGACUCUAGUUGUAGAGCCUCCUCACUUGGAGAGGAUUGGAUUGGGUGUUGACCCUAGUUACAGUGUAUCCUCACUUGGAGAGGAUAGAUCUAGCUCACAGUCUGCGUUUAGGAUGGUAUAGCCAUCCAAUCCCCACAUGGAGGGGAUUGUCGUCGAGUACUCCGGAGUGUCGCGCGACUAGGACCACUUGGAGGUCCGGACCACAUGGAGGUCCGCAGACGGUCCCGGGCUUGGGUGCACUUGGAGCUCCCUCCCCACUUUGGGAUUGGAAGAUGAGUUAUGGGUGAGCCCUAGGGCCUCGCCACAGAUUGGGUAAAUGAAAGGUUAAAGGUUUAAUAAAUGUCAUUGAACAUAGCUAUUCGAACAUGGAUCGAAUUUGGUAGCAUGGUAGCAAACCUUUAUUAUAUGAUGCAUGCAUUCAUAUUCAUGAUUAUGGGCAUAGUAGCAUAGUUUUCCUACUACUGCAUUUACAGCUUUCAGAUACAUAUCUAUCUAUCUAUCUAUCUGUUGUUACUUGUGCCCACUUGGACCUAGUGGGGAGAUCGGCAGAGUCGGCGGCCGAGCCCACUGGGAACUAUGGAAGAUAGUUCUCACCCCACUCUAUUUUCAGUAGUAGGUACAGGGUUAUCGAGAGAGGACCACGGCAAGGGCAUCGCGCCCGAUCAGUGAGACCGUGGUAGUAUAGUAGCUUUCCUUUUGCAGUAGCACACCUAUGUAUUGCGAGAGAUUCAUGUAGGUGAGGCUGGAGAGUUAUGUAUUUUGAGGAUCAAAUGUAUUCAUUUUGGAAAAUGAUGUAAAUGUAAAGAAUGCAACUAUUGUAAUAGUUAGUAAAGUACUCUCUUUAUUUCACUCGUAUAUCUUGUGGAUUACUUGCUCUUCUUGUUGUUGGCACUGUUUGUGCCCUCGUUGAAUAUGUAUGUUUAGAAUUUAAAGCCCUGGGUAAAUUCUUGUGCACAUUCAUGUUAUUGAGCCUUGGGCGGACAGGAGAGGUGCUGUCCGUUCGGCGGACCGUCGCCACGGCCGAAUCGUGCCAAAUUGGUAGUGGUUUCGGGGCGGGGCGUGACAGCCAGCCUCUCGCCAACUUCACUCCAAUGAAGUGGCGAUCUACACUUCCGUCCAUAAAGUGCCUCGAAGGGUGCCAUCUUGAUGCUUGCUUGAUAACUAUUGUUAUAAGCAAACUCCGCCAUCGGUAGAUGCUGCGACCAUCCUCCCUGGAAGUCAAUCACACAUGCUCGGAGCAUAUCCUCUAAAGUACGAAUGGUGCGCUCCGACUGUACGUCACUCUGAGGGUGGAAAACAGUGCUGAAAUCCAAUCGGGUGCCCAAGGCGUCCUGUAGACUCCUCCAAAAGUGAGACACAAACCGAGUGUCUCGGUCCGAUACUAUCGAUAUAGGCACUCCAUGAAGUCGCACAAUCUCAUCAAGGUACACUUGUGCGAGCUUCUCUCCGGUCCAAGUAGUAUGAAUAGGUAUGAAGUGUGCCGACUUCGUCAACCUAUCCACGAUCACCCAUAUAGCCUCAUGCCCGGCCUGAGAGCGGGGCAAUCCAGUCACGAAAUCCAUGGUGAUCUUCUCCCACUUCCACACGGGAAUAGGCAAACUCUGAAGUUUUUCCGCGGGUAAUCGAUGCUCAGCCUUUACUUGUUGGCAAGUUAGACAACGAGCUACAAACUCGCCAACAUCCUUUUUCAUCCCGGGCCACCAAUAGAAUAACUUUAAGUCCUUGUACAUCUUGGUGCCAUCCGGAUGUACAGCAUACGGUGCUCGGUGUGCUUCAUGAAGAAUGUCCUCUUUGAUUUCCGCAUCCGCCGGUACACAUAACCAUCCGCGAAAACACAUCAAUCCUUGGUCAUCCACAAGGAAAUCGCCGGUGCAACCAUUAACCAUUUUAUCUCUAAUCUUUUGCAACUCCGUAUCGGAAGCUUGCUUCUCUUUAAUCCUAUCCACAAGUGUAGGUUGCACCACCAAAGUCAUCAACCUUAAAGACGUGUCUGGAGUCACUACCUCCAACUCCAACCGCUUCAUAUGCUCGAUCAACUGCGGUUGAGCCACAACAUGCAUCGCUAAGUUUUCUGUCGAUUUCCUACUUAGCGCAUCCGCCACCACGUUAGCCUUGCCCGGGUGGUAUAAAAUUGUCAGGUCGUAAUCCUUGAGCAGUUCCAACUAUCUGUGCUGUCUCAAGCUCAACUCCUUCUGAGUGAACAAGUACUUCAAGCUCUUGUGAUCCGUGUACACUUCACACCGCUCGCCAUAAAGAUAGUGGCGCUAUAACUUCAAUGCGAAGACUACGGCCGCCAACUCCAAAUCAUGCGUCGGGUAGUUCUUUUCAUAUUCCUUUAGUUGGCGCGAAGCAUACGCGAUCACUUUGCCAUCCUGCAUCAACACACAACCCAAUCCAUUAAGUGAAGCAUCACUAUAAACCACAUACCCUGCUCCAGCCAUCGGCAGGGUUAGGAUCGGGGCGGUCGUCAAUCUUUGCUUCGAUUCUUGGAAGCUUCUCUCGCAUGCAUCAUUCCAAAUGAACUUGACUCCUUUAUGCGUGAGACCGGUUCCCGAAAGGGGAACCUUCAGGACUUAGCCAAAUUUAGGCUUCCUCUCGCGGGUGUCGCGCACGGGGACCGGUCCCCUCAGCCAGGGACCGGUCGCAUCGGCCUUGCCCCGCGACCCUCAGCUACGGGGACCGGUCCUUCCCUCUAGGGACCGGUCCCCGAGAGCAAAAAUCUGCUGAGUCCAGAUUUUAUCUAUUUGCUCUCGCGGACUCAACUCCAAAGCACUUUUUGUGUUUUGGGCAUUCUUAACUCCCACAAAGGGUAUUCUCUCGACAGUGAGUCGAUCCUGGACAAAGUACAAUCCUCGUAUUUCGAGAAUUCACUUCCUUACACUGGCAUUAGGCUCUGACGUGCUCCAGGAAGCUGAGGACAAGAUUCGUAUUGCUCGGGAGCGACUUUUGACGGCACAGAGUAGACAUAGGAGCUACGCCGACCGACGACGGUGAGACUUGGAGAUCCAAGUUGGAGACCAUGUUUUCUUAAAGGUCUCGCCGACUAGAGGGAUCAGGAGAUUCAGGAUUCGGGGAAAGUUGAGCUCCCGUUUCAUUGGACCGUAUGAGAUUUUGGAACGUGUAGGUCCGGUAGCGUAUCGACUUGCUCUACCACCGAACCUAUCGGGCGUACACAACGUCUUCCAUGUAUCGGUCCUUCGGAAGUACAUCUUCGACCCGACUCAUGUGUUGGAUGCUACACCUGUGGAGUUGCGGGACGACUUGAGCUUCGAGGAGCAACCAGUGAAGAUCUUGGCUCGCGAGGUUAAGAAACUACGGAAUCGGGACAUUCCGUAUGUAAUGGUCCUUUGGAGCAACCACGAGGAUCGGGAGGCCACGUGGGAGCUAGAGAGCGCGCUGCAGGAGCGCUAUCCCCAUCUCUUACAGAUGGAGUCUUGAGGUAUGUAGUUUGAUUUCGAGUUUCGCGGACGAAACCCCUUUUUAGGAGGGGUGAAUGUAACACACUGGACCUUUGCAAAUUGCGAGGUUCAAGUGUUUGAUCUGUGUUCCGAGCUUUGCCAGAUAUUCUGGAAGGUCGUUGACAGUGUUUUGACCUAUGGCUCGCAUCCCAAGAAUUGAGGUUUAAAGCUUGUACCAAAAUCCAAAAAGAUGGAUUGUUGGUCCUGCUCUCGGGUCAGCCUCAGCCAGGCUGUGUACCGGUACAGCCUUGAUGGUUGUACUGGUACAGGAUUUGUACCGAUACACCUUGAUGAUUGUACCGGUACACUUCGGGUUUUCUACCAACCCGAGGCUCGGGUUGGGCUGUUUCAUAGGAAGUGUACCGGUACACUUUCCCGUGUACCGGUACACUUUCCCGUGUACCGGUACACAAUGCAGACUGGGCUGUUUUCGAGGAGGGGUGUAUUUGCAAUUAUUGCAACCUCUUUAAAUACCACCCCAGCCCCUUUAGCUGCUCUUUUGAGCCCUAGACCUGUGGAGAAAAGGUGAGAACUCUUCCCCUUUGGAUUCUUCUCCAUUUUUGGUGGAUUUUAGUUGGUUUUGAUCUCUCCUUUCUUCUCCUCCUUGUUUUUUGUUGGGUUUCCUCCAUUGUUGAGACUUGGAGCUUGAAGAAGAGCUUGUUUGAGAAGAGAUCUCCAACCCUACUUGGUUUGGAGCUUGGUUUGGGGCAUCUUGUGAGGUUUGUAGCAUGUAUUUCUCUUUUCAUACAUGUUUUAGUGGAUUUGGAUCUUGUAACCCUAGAUUUUGAGAUUUAGGGUUAGAACUAGGAACUUUUGAUUUGAGGCUUCUAGAACCAAAUUGAUUGGUUUAGAAUCAUGGUUUAGGUUGGCUUUGAAGGAUUCUUACUCCCUUUUGGAAAUCAAGAGAGAUUUUCACCAUUUUCGGUGAGUUUUUAGCCCUUUCUUUGAGUUGCUUAAUGUUUGAACUCAUGAAUUGUCGUUUCGAUGUUACUCCCCUAGCCUAUCUCUUAGGGUGCUAGGAGUGAUUAUCGAAGCUUCGUUAGCGUUUCGGACGCCCGCGCGGAGCUUUUGGUGGGUUCGGCUUCAUGUGAAUAGGGGAAAAUUCCUCCUAAGGGGUUAAUAUGUGUUGUAUUAUCAUUUUGCAUGCAUUUUCAUACUAGAUAGGAUUUAUGUGAAUUUUGAAUACUUAAAAUGCAUGUGUUGCGUAUCAUGAAAAUCCUUCUCUACAUAGUAGAGCAUUAUGUGUAGUGUACAUGAAUGUUUAAAGUAUUCUCUUUUUCAAGUUGGAAAAUAUGUUGCAUGUGAGGAAGAUGGUUGAAAUAUGUAUUCAUGAAUAUUAAACUCAUGUUUGAAUAUAGUGAACUAGAAUGCCAUAAAGGGGCACUUGACUUAGCAAAUUGUGAAAUUGCAACAUAGAGACAUAGUGAUAGGCCAUCGAGACAUAUGCUAUAUUUCAUGUUUUAGACAUGACGACAUAGUGAUAGGCCAUUGAGAUAUUUUCCACAUUCCAUGUUUUAGACAUGAUGACUUGGUAUUUGAGACGGACUUUUACGCUUGCUUGCCAUUGUGCUCAUUCACACAUGCUUGUAAGGGUCGCUCCCUACAAGCCGGCACUCCGGAGAUAGCCAUCGCGACAUAUGCUCGCUCGUGCGGGAUUGGGCGCCGAAAUGGAAUGCCGUGGGGGAAGCUCAUUCCUAGAGUGGGGAUGUUGACUACCACGGGGCCAUUAGGCACGGCGCAGGCCAGACAGCCUACGGAUGGGUCUUACAUGAUUGGAACUUAGUGACAGAACAUGCCAUUUGGACUUUGACCAGAAUAGUAAACAAUGACAUUUACUAUUUAGCUUGUGGACAUUAUGUUAGUGAUGCUCGUUUAUAUUCUGUUACAGUAGCUUUAUUACUUAUGCAAUUCAUGCUAAGUAGAGAUAUCAUGUUGUAGUAAGUUACAUGUUUACUUACAUAUCGAUUCUAUUGCUUUUAUUGUUACUUACCUGUUUAGCUCUUUUGGGCCUAGUGGUGCUUUCACUGAAGUCAGUAAUUGCCACUGGGAACUAUUAUUUAAUAGUUCUCACGCCCCCGUUUCUAUGGUUUUAUUUCAGAGCCCUCUACACCGGUGGAGGCACGGGACCGCGGCAAGGGGAUCGCUUAGCUAGCUAGCGAGGAGCGUUUCUUUUGCAUUUUGGUAGUUCGCUCUCCUUUUGUUGUAGUUGAGAGAGAGAGAGUUAUGUUAGUACCUUGUAUAGAGAGACCACCUAUGUAUCUGGUUUAGCAUUUGUACUUUGGAUGUUUAUUGUACUACUUUCUAUUUUUUCUUAGUGGAUUUAGCUCUAUAUUCAUUUCGGUUAUUGUAGCAUCUAGACAUACUUGCUCUGAUACUGCUAGAUGUUUUCUUUAUCUUGCUUUAUUUAUCGUUUUAUUUUAGACGCCUUAUAUGUUUUAGACGUAUGCCGGGUCUGGGCACGUGCCGGGCGGGCUUUCGCUGGGUCCCGGGGCGUGACAACGGAACUCAUAGCAAGUAUGAUCCAUUCUUAACUCUAAGGAUAUAUAGUUCAAUCAUUGUCUUUACACUAACUCUAGUGUUCUUUACAUCACUUUAUUUUGCUAACUCUAGCAAUCAUCGUUCUUUAACUUUACUCGUUCUUUAUGCCAAACUUUGCAUUAACUUUAACCAUUAUCAUUGUUCUUUUCAUCACAUUGAUUCUUUGAUGCCACACACUAACUUUAGUGUCGACUAUAUACUUUCGAAUGCCACUCGAUCUAUGCUCAUUGUGUCUCGUUGUUCUUUUGCCUCACUUGGGUGCUCACAUUUUAUCUCAUGCAUACAUAUAGGGUUAAACAUUCAUAGGGGUUCUCAACCAUCUCAUUAGGCAAAUUGUACUCACAACAUGCAACAUUACAUUAUUCUCAUUACAUAUACCCUACUAUGCUUGCAACAAUGUAUAUAACAUAUACUCAAUUGAAUGACACACUAGGCAUAGAAGGAAGUUCAACGAGUUUGGAUAGCACCACCCACCUCGUAGGUUCUCAAAGGUGCUCCGACGAUUUUCUUGGGAUUUUUAGACACCCGGUUCGCUACCUGCGAGUUAACGAAGCCAAAUUAGGCUUAUUUGGCCGUAACUUUACAUCGGGUUUUCGUAACGUUAAUCCGAGCACACCAACGCGUCGGAAAUACCCCCAAUUAGGUUUCUAGAGGGUCAAUUGCACUUUAGAACCCUCGCAAGCAAAAGCCCCAAUUUUGGUGCCCUAGCUCAUAACAUACAUCAAACCUAGGGUUUGAUCUCAUUGGGAAGCAAAAGAAGCUUCAUUCUACGCUAAAGACUCCACAAAAACCAUCUUUAGUUCAAUCCAAACCCUAGUUUGGAUUCUACCAUGAGAGGGGUUGAAGCUCUCCUUCAAGCUUCACCUUCCACACCAUUCCAUGGUUUUGAUCUCAAAAUGAAGCAAAAGAUAGCUUCAAACACUCUAUAGGUUCUAUUAAAACCAUUUCUAGGUCCAUCCAAACCCUACUUUGAGCUUUACCACUAUUGGGGUUCAAAGCUUACCUUGUAAGCUUUCCUUUUCCAAGCUAGGGAAGGAGAGGAGGGGUCUUCUUCUCUUCCUUGCCUUCUUCUUCACCUUCUUCCUCUUCUUUUCCUUUCUUCUUCUUGUCUUCUUCUUCUCCUUCUUGUCUUCUAGAGAGAGAAAGAGAGAUGAGAGGGGGAGUGUGAGGGAGAGAAUGAGAUGAAAAGCCCUCAAAGCCCCCCACUUAACCAUUGGGUUGCACAAAUGCAAAUAGGCCCCUCAACUUUCACUUUAUUGAACUGCUUGAACUGGGCAGUUUUCGGGUUCGGGGACCGGUCUCCCAACUUGGGACCGGUCCCAGAGAGCUCUCCCGCAGCUCAGUGAGGGCCUUCGCACGAGGCAACCGGUCUCUCCCACAGAGACCGGUCUCUCGGGGACCGGUCUCUCCCCGCAGGGACCGGUUCCCGAGAGCUGGUUUUCUGGGACUUAGCCGAUUUGCAGCCUUUCUCAUUUCUCACGCGUUCGGGGACCGAUCUCUACCACCAGGGACCGGUCCCCGAGAGCUCAAAAACUGUAGUUUGCAGAUUUUUGAUUCUUUAGCUCUCGAAAACCUCCCACAACGCAUUUUUGAUCAUUUUAACACCUUCGGACUUUCCGAAGUGUACCACCCUCGCACUUUGGUCAAUUUGACUAAAGUUCGAUAUUUAUUUUUCAAAUUUUCGGUAUAUUACAUUCUCCACCCUUAAAAUAAUUUCGUCCGCGAAAUUACGCAUACCUUAACUCGUCGAUUCAAAUAGAUGUGGAUACUCUCUCCGCAUGAUCUCCUCGAGCUCCUAAGUGGCUUCUCGCGCCGCAUGGUUGCUCCAUUGGACCUUCACAUAUGGAAUUCUGCGACUCCGCAGCUUCCUUUCUUCUCGAUCGAGGAUGCACACCGGGUACUCCUCGUAAGACAUAUCUUCACGUAGCUCCACGGGCUCGUACUCCAAUAUAUGUGUCGAGUUUCGAAUAUACUUUCGGAGAUUUGACACAUGAAAAAUAUUGUGAACUCCUGCGAGUCUCGAUGGUAGUGCGAGCUUGUAUGCUACCGCACCCACACGCUCCAAUAUCUCAAACGGUCCGACAUAACAGGGACUUAGCUUCUCGUGGACCCCAAACCGCUUUACUCCUCGCAUCGGCGAUACUCUCAAAAAUACGCGGUCUCCAACCGCGAACUCUAAAUCUUUUCUUCUCUUGUCGGCAUAACUCUUUUGCCGAGAUUGUGCCGCCGCUAACCGUUGACGGGCAAGGCGAACUGUAAUGCAUUGGAAAAUUGACCUUGAGCUAAUUGUAAUCAAGUUGAUCACAAUGAUGUCAAAAUAGAAAUUAAGUGUUAAUGAACUUAAUUAGUAGAUUGAGAACAACAAUUGACUUAUUUUGGAACUGUGUAAGUGGGCUCGAAGUGAAUCGGAAGUGCCAAGUGUCACGCCCCGCCCCGAAACCACUACCAAUUUGGCACGGUUCGGUCGCGGCGACAGACCGCCGAACGGACAGCACCUCCCCUGUCCACCCAAGGCUCAACAACAGGAAUGUGUACAAGGAUUUACCCAGGACUUUAAAUUCUAAACAUACACAUUCAACGAGGGCACAAACAGUGCCAACAACGAGAAGAGCAAGUAAUCCACAAGAUAUAGUAUGUGAAAUAAAGAGAGUACUUUACUAACUAUUACAAUAGUUACAUUCUUUACAUUUACAUCAUUCUCCAAAAUGAAUACAUUUGAUCCUCAAAAUACAUAGCUCUCCAACCUCACCAUCAUGAAUCUCUCUCAAUACAUAGGUGUGCUAAUGCAAAAAGGGAAGCUACUAUACUACCACGGUCUCACUGAUCGGGCGCGAUGCCCUUGCCGCGGUCCUCUCUCGGCAACCCUGUACCUACCACUGGAAAUGGGAUGGGGUGAGAACUAUAUUCCAUAGAUUCCCAGUGGUCGGCCGCCGACUCUGCUGAUUCUCCCACUAGUGUCAAGUUGGGCAUCAGAGCAACAAACAGGUAGAUAGAUAGAUAGAUAUCUGAAAGUUUGUAAUAUGCAAGUUAGUAGCGAAAACUAUGCUUACAUAUGCCCAUAAUCAUGUAAUGUGGAUGCACUGCAUCUAAUAAAUAAGUUUUUACCAGGGCUAACAGAUGUCAUAUCCAUGUUCGAAUAGCUUAGUGUUCAAUGACAUUUAUUAACAACCUUAACUCUUUAUUUACCCAAUCUGUGGCGAGGCCUUAGGGCUGGCCAAUUACUCAGUCUUCAAAUCCCAAAGUGUGGGAAGUGGAGCUCCAAGUGACACCAGCCCGGGACCGUCUGGGGACUCAUUGGUCCGGACCUCCAAGUGGUCCUAGUUCGCGGUGACACUCGCGGACACUCGACGACAAUCCCUCCUAUGUGGGGAAUUGGAUGGCUAUACACCCUAACGCGACUGUGAGCCUAAUCUAUCCUCGAGUGAGGGAUACACUUGACAACUAGGUCAACACCAAGUCGCAGAUCUCUCAAGUAAUGGAGGCUCUACAACAGCUAGCGCUCACAUAAUCCAACUCGAAUCCUCUCCAAGUGAGGAAGCACUCUAUAACUAGAGUCAACAUCUCUCGCGGGAUCAUUUGUUCCCGACAUCCAUGCAAUGCUAUUUAGUUUUCUAAAUUCAUUGUUCACAAGGCAUUUUCUAAGGGAUCCACCUAUCCCUAGGUCCAUCGACCUCUAGUGUCAUUUACACUACAUUAAUGCCACUCGUCAUCAUUUAACAUUUGGAUGCCACUCGUGUGUUCUUUAACACUAAACACUACUUUCUAUGUCAUCAAUACCCCCAUCGGGUUCACCUCUUUUCUUUUACAUCAUAGGAUCCACGUUCCGACCCAAUCCUCACCUAUCUAAGUUACCAAGCGUUCCAAGUACACUAGGUUAUCAUUUAGAAAGCAUAAGGAAUGGAGCUACUAUGCAAUCCUACAAUGCAACAUGAAGAGAUGAGAUCAAAUGCAAUCUAAGACAUAGAAAGGAGUUCGAAAGCUUCGGGAUGACACCCCCCACCUUUUACCAACGUAGAGGUUUUAGAAGCGCUCCUCGACGAGCUUUACGAAAAGGCUUUUGCCUUCCCUAAUCCAAGAUAGCGCCGAAACGACCGUAAUUCGCCGAUUGUUCUAAGUCCGCUCGACGAAUCGCGAAAUCGACUUCGCCCCCGCGUUUGGGCACCUAUCGAUGAGGUUUACAAGGCCUCAAAUGAGAUCAAUCUCAUACUUUACAAAAUGCCCCCAUUUGGAGCCCUAGGUUUGCACAUAUAGCAAACCACCAAUAAAAUCCUAGAUUCUUGGGAUUGAUCUACUUAGAAGCAUGCUUGGGGUCCAUUUGACCCAUUCCAAAGCAUAAAAACCCAAAGCCCUAAGUUUACAAAGUAGGGUUUAGUAGCUUACCUCAAGAGCUACACCAAUGGGAAGAGGAGAGGGAGAUGGAGGUGCUCCAAGCCUUCCUCUUGAUCUCCUUCUUUUUCUCCUUCCUUAUCUUCUUCCUCUUUUCCUUCCUCUCCUUCUUGUUCUCCUUCUCCUUCUUUCCUUUCUAGAGAGAGAGGGAGAGAAAUAGAGAGAUGAGAGUGAGAGAGAGGAAUGAGAGAGUGUGAGGGAGAGAGAGGGCCCAGCCCACUCUAAUAAAGGCCAUUUUGCAUUUAGACCCCUCAACUUUUAACCCCUUGCGCAGCCCUCGCUGGGCAGUUUUCGUGCAGAGGGACCGGUCUCCCCGACUUGGGACCGGUCCCCGAGAGCUUCCCUCGGGCGCACGCGUUCGGGUACCGGUCUCUCCCCGGGAGACCGGUCCUCGGGAGACAGGUCCUCGCCUGAGAGACCGGUCCCCGAGAGCUCAAUUUUCAGGACUUAGCCAAAUCUCGGCAUUUCUCGCUGGAACCACGUUCGGGAACCGGUCCCUCACUGCCAGGGACCGGUUGCACCAUGCAACCCCGCACGCCCAGCCGAUGGGACCGGUCUCUCACCUCCAGAGACCGGUCCCCGAGAGCAACUUCAGCCCAAUAAUGCUGUUUGCAUCGUUAGCUCUCGUGGACUCAACUCCAAAGCACUUUUUGUGUUUUGGACAUUUUUAACUUCCCCAGAGGGUAUUCUCUCAACAAAUAGUCGAUCCUGGACGAAGUAUAACUCUCGAAUUUCGAGAAUUCACUUCCUUACAUUCUCCCCUCCUUAAAAGGAGUUUCGUCCUCGAAACGAACAAAUUCUUUAACUUUUAAUUUAAACUUAUACCUCACUCCUCAAACAGAUGAGGAUGGUGCUUUCUCAUCAGAUCCUCGAGUUCCCAGGUGGCCUCGCGAUCAUCAUGAUUGCUCCACCUGACCUUUACAUAGGGAAUUUCUCGAUUCCUCAACUUUCGCACCUCUCGGGCGAUAAUUCCUACCGGAAACUCUUCAUAGCUCAAGUCUCCUUGAAGUUCCGGCGGUUCAUAUAGCAUCGCAUGCUCCGGGUCGUGAAUAUACUUGCGGAGAUUGGAGACAUGGAACACAUUGUGCACAUCCGCAAGUUUCGGCGGUAAAGCAAGCCGAUACGCCACCGUACCAACUCGCUCCAAUAUCUCAUAUGGCCCAAUGUACCGGGGACUCAGUUUUCCCCGUACUCCAAACCGCUUCACACCACGCAUUGGUGAAACCUUCAGAAAUACGCGGUAACCCACCGCGAACUCUAUAUCUCGUCGGCGCCUAUCUGCAUAGCUUUGCUACCUCGACUGCGCCGUGAGCAAUCUCUUGCGAGCAAGGCGGACUUUCUCCUCCGCUUCUCGCAACACAUCAGGGCCGAACUCUGCCCGUUCACCUACAUCGCUCCAAUGUAUAGGAGACCGACACGUCCGCCCAUAAAGAGCUUCGAACGGUGCCAUCUCUAUACUCGCAUGAUAACUGUUAUUGUAGGCGAACUCGGCCAUAGGUAGGUGAUCACACCAACUUCCCUUAUAGUCGAUGACACACGCUCGCAACAUAUCCUCCAGAGUUUGAAUGGUUCUCUCUGUUUGCCCAUCGGUUUGAGGAUGAAAUGCGGUACUAAAAUCGAGCCGUGUGCCAAGGGCUUCUUGCAGGCUUUUCCAAAAGUGUGAAGUGAACCGGGGGUCACGAUCCGACACGAUCGAUUUCGGCACCCCAUGCAGUCUCACUAUCUCGUCAAGAUAUACCCGCGCUAACUUGUCACCCGACCACGUGGUGUGGAUCGGCAAGAAGUGAGCCGACUUCGUCAAUCGGUCCACAAUUACCCAAAUUGCAUCGUGGCCGCCCGUUGAGCGAGGCAAGCUGACCACGAAGUCCAUCGAUAUAUCUUCCCAUUUCCAAACGGGGAUUGGUAGGCUUUGAAGCUUUCCCGCUGGAAAUCUACGCUCUGCCUUCACUUGCUGGCAUGUUAAGCACUUCGCCACAAAGCGUCCAACAUCACCCUUCAUUCCCGGCCACCAAUAGUGCAUUUUUAGUCCUUGAUACAUCUUGGUGCCGCCCGGGUGAUCAGCAUACGGAGAUCUGUGUGCUUCUUGUAGAAUCAACUCGCGAAGCUCUCCAUCCUUCGGCACACACCAUCGGUUUCUAAACCGAAGCGCACCAUCGGCGUUUAUACUAAAAUCGCCGCCUCGACCAUCCUCGAUGUUUCGCCGCACCUUCUGGAGUUCUGGGUCCGCAGGUUGCAGAUCUUUAAUCCUCUCCAACAAGGUCGGUUGGACAACGAGUGCCAUCAACUGGGCUGGAAUCUCGGGAGGAACCACUUCAAGGUCCAAUCGCUUCAUAUCCAGCCACAGGGGUGUUUGCUGGGUAACAUCAAAAGCGAGAUUCUUCGCCGACUUUCUACUCAGCGCAUCCGCAACCACAUUUGCCUUCCCGGGGUGGUAGAGGAUAUCGACAUCAUAAUCCUUUAACAACUCCAACCACCGCCGCUGACGCAUAUUGAGCUCCUUCUGAGUAAACAAGUACCUUAAGCUCUUGUGGUCGGUAUAAAUCUCACAAUGGGCACCAUAUAAGUAGUGCCUCCACAGCUUCAGGGCGAAAAUUACCGCCGCCAGCUCCAAGUCGUGGAUGGGGUAAUUCUUCUCAUAGCUCUUCAGCUGACGGGAUGCAUAAGCAAUCACCUUCCUGUUUUGCAUCAAUACACACCCCAACCCAAGAUAGGAAGCAUCACUGUAGACUACGAAGUCUUCGCCUUCCACCGGUAGAGCGAGCACCGGAGUUGAAGUCAAUCUUUGCUUCAACUCUUUGAAACUUCGGUCGCACUCCUCGCUCCAAACAAACUUGGUGCCUUUCUGGGUCAGGCGGGUAAGUGGAAUUACUAUCUUGGAGAAGCCUUCCACAAACCGCCUAUAAUAGCCCGCCAAGCCCACGAAGCUUCGAACCUCCGUGACGUUCGUCGGGCGCGGCCAAUCCUUGAUUGCCUCAACUUUCCUCGGGUCUACUGAAACUCCACCCGCGGAAAUCACAUGCCCUAAGAAGGCGACUUCGCGAAGCCAGAAGUCACACUUCUUUAGCUUAGCAUAUAGCUUCUCCUCCCGAAGGACUUGAAGCAGUUUCCUCAAAUGUUCGGCAUGUUCCUCGUCACUUCGAGAAUAGACCAAUAUGUCGUCUAUAAAGACCACGACAAAUUGGUCCAGAUACUCUCUGAAGACACGGUUCAUCAAAUCCAUAAACGCCGCUGGAGCAUUCGUGAGUCCAAAUGGCAUAACCGUGAACUCGUAGUGUCCAUACCGCGUACGAAACGCGGUCCUUUGCACAUCCUCCGGUUUGAUCUUCAAUUGAUGGUAGCCGGAUUACAAGUCUAUUUUCGAGUACACACACGACCCUUGCAACUGAUCGAACAGGUCAUCGAUUCAGGGUAGUGGGUACUUGUUCUUGAUCGUGACUCUAUUCAAUUCUCGAUAAUCCACGCAGAGCCUAAACGAUCCAUCCUUCUUCCUCACGAAUAACACCGGGGCUCCCCACGGUGAUACACUCGGCCGGAUAAAUUGCUUGUCAAGGAGGUCUUGUAGUUGACUCCUCAACUCCCUUAGUUCCGCCGGCGCCAUUCGGUACGGAGCCUUCGAGAUCGGCGCGGUACCGGGAACCAAGUCUAUGACGAACUCGAUCUCCCGAUCCGGUGGUAUCCCCAGCAACUCUGCGGGAAACACAUCCGGGAACUCCCGCACUACCGAGAUCUCCUCCAACAUUGGAGUGACUCGUUCCACCUCUACAACGGUCGCCAAGAACGCUGCACAACCGUUGCUCACCAACUUUCUUGCUCUCGUCGCCGACACCGUCGCGACGAAACACGUGCUCUGGCAAGCUCGAUAGGUGAAUUCUUUCUGUCCUGGCCCACGAAACGUGAUCACCCUGCUCUUGCAGUCAAUCGUGGCGUGGUAUUUCGAGAGCCAGUCCAUACCCAGAAUAACAUCAUAAGCCUCAAGCUUCUGGAGUCCUAGUGUCCGAAUAGGCAUUAUCCAUUCGCCUAUUUGUACCGGACACGAGGCGCACUCUGUGUAGGUAUUGAAUGUCGAUCCAGGGCCCUCCACUCGCCACUUGUCACUCGCUUCUAUAUGUAUGCCAUGCAUGCGUGCGAAUGAUCUACUUAUGAAUGAAUGCGUGGCUCCUGUAUCAAAUAGAGCCCUGGAGCGAACUCCGUUAAUCAAAACCAUACCUGCCACAAGGCGAUGCUCCUCCGCCUCCGCAGGUUCCUCGGCCUGAACCUGAGCUGCAAAUACCCGUCCGCUCGGGGCCGAUCGCGCCAUCUCAGGUUGACGCGGUGUCAUCGCGCGUCCUGUCGACGCGGCCGUCGGUGGAGCUCCUCCAUAAUAUGCCGGAAUCGCCGGCGCCGAUGCAAUCGAUGGGGCAGGUGAGGCUCCUCCUCCCGGGCAGUCCCGAAUGAAGUGCCCCGGUUGCCCACACUUGUAGCACUUGCCCCGGCCUUGUUCACAGCGCGAAACUGGGUGGUCUCCGCAGCAUACAAUGCAUCGCCGCGCUCCACCGUUUUUCUGUUGAGCGCGCGGGUACUUCGGGGGUCUCUUAUAACGUGCUUGACCACCCGAACUACCGCCGCCUUGGCGUUUCUUGCCCUUAUCCUUGGACUCCGCCAAAAGCUCACGCUUCUCCCGCACGUGGGCAUCUCCGUGCUCCGCCCAUAGGGCUCGAUCAAAGACCUCAGCAAAGGUCGUGAGCUUGAGUAUUUGCACGGCCUUGUAGAUUCCCGGCCGAAGUCCUCGCAAGAACCACUCGGCCCGGUCCCGGUCAUCCUUUACAACAUCCGGGACACAAUCUAUGAUGUGGGAGAAUUCCUGUUCAUACUCCGCCACUGGGCGGUCCCCUUGCUCUAGCUUGCCGAACUUCUCCUUGAGCUUCCGCUUCAAUGUAUCGGGGAAGUAGUUGGCGAACAUCUCCCGCUUGAAUUCCUCCCACAGCAUCGGCGGAAGGCCGGGAAGCCGAUCCCACUUGACGCGCUUCCACCAAACCUUUGCCGCCCUUUCCAAGCAAUGGGUGGCGAGAUACACCUUGUCCCUCUCCAAGGUACGCAAGUCGUCGAAGAGGGUUUCCAUCGAGUCGAUCCAAGACUCGACCAUUGCCGGUUCCACCUUCUCACCCUCAAAGGUCGGCGGAUGGAACUUGUUGAACUUGAUAAGAGCCGCUAGCGCACGCUCUCCUUCCACGUCUUCGGCCGUCACGUCGGGUGUAGUCGAUCCCGACGCCGCCGGUGGCACGAUCGCCGGCGGGGGACGCGCCGCCACCGGGACCGCCGCUAUGCCCUCACCCUCAGCUGGCUCAGGUACACGAGCCGAGGGCGCGGGCACAUCGCGUCCGUCCGUCGCCGUUGCGGCCGCUGCCGCUGCCUGCCGCUCCAAGAGCUCCUGGAGCCGCUCGAAUCGGUUCUCCUGGCGCUGCACCACAUCGGUCAGCGCGGACACUUGCGCUUGCAACCGAUCCAUCACGCUCGGUUCUCCCUGCUCGGGCACCUCAGGAGUCGGUGCCGGAGUAGAUCUACGUGUGUAGCGUCUUGGAGACAUUAGUCCCUGAAACGCAAAUACUCGGUUAAUCAUCUUAACCCGUUAACCUCGUCGCAAUUACGACACAUGACAACUUAAUGGCAAAAUCGGGCGGAAGCAUACAAGUGUACUCGUUCUAGGCUCUUGGCAUCAUGUCGUCGGCCGCCGACACAACCACCUCAAGAUAAGAACUUAUACCACUUGAAUUCGUCUCUAAUCACAACUAGAGACCUAUACCCACUUCGACCCAAUCGAAUUGACUUCCGCCAUCGUUAUAGGUUCACGUUCCGCUCACGCACCUAUAACCUUAGGGCUCACCAACCUAGGGUCUCCUAGGUCAUCCUAGACUUUCUCUCUUUACUUGCUCUCAUUGCUCUGAUACCACAAAAGACUGUCACGCCCCGCCCCGAAGCCACUACCAAUUUGUCACGGUUCGGUCGCGGCGACAGACCGCCGAACGGACAGCACCUCCCCUAUCCGCCCAAGGCUCAACAACAGGAAUGUGUACAAGAAUUUACCCAGGACUUUAAAUUCUAAACAUACACAUUCAACGAGGGCACAAACAGUGCCAACAACGAGAAGAGCAAGUAAUCCACAAGAUAUACGAGUGAAAUAAAGAGAGUACUUNNNNNNNNNNNNNNNNNNNNNNNNNCGAAGGCUUAAGGAGCGGAUUUGCCGCAAUGUGCAAUUAGGCGCUCCAAAAGUGGAUUUUGAUACAUAAGAGGGUUUUCUUCUCAGAUUGACCCUUCUCUAACCUAAUUGUGGUCUAUGCAACGCUACGGUGCGCUCGUUCGUCGAUCCGACGGUGUUACGCCGAAUAUUUGAGGAUCGAAGCGUUAAGCGGUACGAUGCCGCAGCUCGCCAGGCGAAAGCUUGCCAAAUCUGGAAAUGGAAUCGUAGCUGUGGUGUUUUGGGGAAUAAAUCCCAGAAUAGACGUAUGCGCGGAUGAGUAUUUUGGCAGUCGCGCGUGGUUGGGUGCGAGGCCGUGCGCGGCAUGCGCCGCCAGGCGCCGAUGCCGAGUGACGCACGAGCAAGUCGAACGCUAUAGAAAGGUGGUGAGUGUCCAUCCCGAAGCCAUCGGCUCCCUUUUGUCUUAAGUUUAUAUGAUUCAGCUAUGCAUUAAUUGACAUCUUGGCAUUGUGGGUAUAAAUGAGGUGUGGUUCUAUACCUUGCAUGUUCCUUGGUAAAUAAUAUUUGGCUAGUAUUUAUAUCUAGCAUGCUUAGGUUUAUAUCAUGUGAUGUGAACCCUAUAAUCGAGAGAUAAGUGUGAUGGGAAUUUAGUAAUGUAUUGACUAUUGCCAUUGGAAAUUGUAAAGAACGAGUGAAUCUAGUUUGAUAGUCAAACAAAGAACGAGUGACAUAUGUGGCAGUCAAGUGUAUAUAAACCUAGGACUAUAUGAUGAUUAAUAACCUAGAGGAAUCAGGGUAUUCUCGAGAUGAGGAUUGGAUCAUGCUCGCGGUCUGUUAAAUCUUGAUGAUGGAACCCACACAAGUAUGCCGCUCCGGCAUGUUGGUCCGCAGGAUGCCAAUGGCAGCGCCAGAAACGGUACCUGGUCCCCGAUAGUGUGAAGUGUAAUUCUCUACCUAUUCGAGAAUGGCUAGUGAGCUGUGGCGAGCCUUCGGUAAGCCAUUGAGAUUAAUAACAAGUAAGUAUGAGUUAAUGAAACGAGGUGAAUAGGUUCACUUGGACAUGAUAACAGGUUAGUGCUUACCUAUUUCAUUGUACAUGCAGUUGGCAUAUAUUAUGAGUGGGCAUAGGUAAGAGUAGUGUUUACUCGCUGUCAUUAUCGCCGUCCUUAUCUAUCUACUAUCGAUUAUCUAACUUCCGAUUGGACCUAGUGGGGAGAACGCGGAGUCGCCGGCGACGAAACCCACUGGAAACUAAGGAAGUUAGUUUCUCACCGCCCAUUUUACUACAGGGCCGAGCGCGAGUUCACACGGCGAGAUCGGGCGUAAGCCCGCCUUAGUGCCCUAGUUUGCAUUAGGCUACUUCCCUAUUUCUGCAUUAGAGUCACCUUUAUGCUUUGGAGAGUAGACGAUGUAUGGAUGUGAGAUAUUCUGCGAGAAGUAAGCAAUGUUCUAUAUUUGGAAGAUGAAGCUUUUAUUAUGUUUUGGAGGUUCAAUUGUAAUCAUUGUAUUAUAAGAAGCGUUGAAUGAAUGUAAUAGAUUAGAUGCGUCUCUCUUUAUCAAUUACUUGUGAGUGUUCUAUACUUGUAUCUUGCUCUUGGUGCGUGUGCACUGAUUGUGCUCUCGUUCUACAUUAUGAUGUGUAUGUAUUCAAGGUGUUUUUCCUGGUGGGACUUGUUGUAUCACUAUCUUGUUGUUAGCCUUGGGCGGACCAGGGAGUGCUGUCCGUCCGGCGUCUUUGAGCGCCGCCGCCCGAACCACAUUGGGUCAGCUGCGACGCGGGCGUGAACACCUAGUUUCAGUGUAUCCUCACUCGUCGGAGAGAUAGAUCUAGCUCACAGUCUGCGUUUAGGGUGUAUAGCCAUCCAUCCCACAAUAAAGGGGAUUUGCUCGUCGAGUUACUCCGGAGGUCUGCGGCGACUGGACCACUUGGAGGUCACGGACCACAAUGGAGUCGGCAGACGGUCCGCCGGCUUGGAGUUGCACUUGGAGCUCCUCCCAACUUUGGAUUGAAAGCUGUCAGCCCCGCAGACGCUACCAUUGGUCCGUCCGUGCGCGUCGAACAGACGCCGGACGGACACAGCACCUCCCUGUCCGCCCAAGGCUAAACACAGGAUCAUGUAAAACUAGUUCCCUAGGAAAUCAAACUUGCAAUACAUACAAUGAUCAAACAUAGCGAGGGCACAACCAGUGCCGAACUUCAAGAGCCAAAGAUCACAAGUAUAUAACAAGUGAAUAAAAGAAAGAGAUAUUAACUAUCUAUACAUUCACAUUUGACAUUCAACAUUUCAUCCAUUCAACCUUUAAUACAACUUUGAUUAUAUUUAAGCCCUCCAAAACUGAAUACAUAGAUGCAUCUACAUGGAAUAAUGCUACGCUAUCCAAAAUUAAUAUGUCAUUAUAACCAUGCACAACGAGGGUGACUCUUUACAUAGGAAAGCUCUACUAGCUAGCUAGGGCGGCUACAUGCCCUACCUCGAUACCUGCCUCGGUCGCUCACGUGUGUACUUACCUUCCAAAAACACACGGGGUUGAAAUAAUAGUAAAUAUAGUUCCCAGUGGCUUCGCCGCGCACUCCGCCGAUUUCCACUAGGGGGUCAAGUUGUGCACAGAUAGAGUAGACUAGAGAUACAUUGGAAAUUAAAACUGCUACCUAUAUCUUACUAUGCCAAUUCAAAUGCAAGGAAUGCAUGCGAAUAUCAUUUAUCAUGCUACGUAUGCUUUAAUAAUGUAAUGAAACAAAUACGACACAUAUGCAUUCCACUAACAUUACUAUGUCGUAAUCGUGGUAUAAGUCAAAUCUGCUUAUCAAUUCAUGUCAUUUACCCAAUCCACUAAGGUACCCCGCCUUUCUCAAAUCACAUAAGGUCGAAGGAUACCCCGCCCUUGUUUUCACCGUCAACAACUCUAAACACAUAGGUAAGGAGCACUACCCCGCCUCGUACCCGACUCCAAGAUCUCAAGUCCUAUAGAUGAAGAGCUACCCGGGGUCCGCCCAACCAUGACUCAAAUGCCUAAGGCGCAAGAGCUACCCGCUCUUCGCCGACUCUAACUCAAACUACAUAGUCAAGAGCUCCGCUCGUAGAUAAAGAGCUACCCGCUCGUAGUAAAGAGCUACCCCGCUCAUAGGUAAGGAGCACCCCGUCAUCAGGUAAAGAGUUACCGCACGUCAAAGUAAACGAGCUACCCCGCCUCAAAUCUAACAGGUGAAGAGCUACCCGCCCUUCCACCUGCACUCAUUCUCAGUCCAUAUGGGUAUGGGCAGCGACCUCCGCUCGUAAUCCCCACCCGAUGAGCUACCCCGCUCAUGAGCUAACCCCCUCGGUGACAAUCUUCAAGUUCCACAACACUAGGUUGUAAUGCUCAACCUAUGUUUAACAACAUUAUAUAAUGCCACUCGAUCUAUCCUAUGCUGUUCGCGACACUAGGUUUACGAUGCCACAUUGCCUCAUAAUUAACAAUAGGUUAACAUUCAAUUUCAUCUAGCAUAUAUGUUCUAUAGAAAGCCAACAUGCAUCAUAAUUGCUAAUAUGCCAUUUAUCACAGCAUGCAAUCCUUUCAUAAUGCACUACUGCAAUACAAUCUCCCAUCACACUAUGUCACAUGUCACGAGUUCAUUAACAAGCCAAGUUUCUUUAUUCCUUAUCUACAUAGAUUCAUGUCUCAACUUAAUCAUCAUGCAUUCUACGAGUUUUAAGUGUCAAGUCUAUAAUACUACACAACUAGACAUGCGAAUGCAAGAAAAUUAGAAAUUAUAACUAUCUAUAUCUAUAACUCAUAAGAACCACUAUUAUAUAAAUCAUGAUCAACUAUUUUACUCGGACAUAGAAGGAAGCGCCAUUGCUGUCGGAUAGACACCCCCACCUUUUAACAACAUUCCGAUUGCCGCUCUCACUCGCAAUCGCGUCCACGCGGCGGCACGCCGCUCGCCUCGACCGCUAUCCGCUGCGCGCCACCAAACGACCUCCGAUCACGCGAUGCCGAAAUUAUAGGUCUUCGCUUUCUCGCUAACGGUGCUCAAAUCCCGUUCCACGAUUUUAUGGAAGCGCCUCGACUCCCCAAGGUCAUAUGAACUCGACGCAACACUUGAUCAGCCGGACGUCGCAUCCGCUCGACAAUCGACGAACGCCUCGCUUCCUACGCGUUCGAGACGAAACAAUUAGGUAGUUCUGUGACCACUCAAAAUAGAUCAAACUCCAACUACUUACAAAAACCCACAUUUUUAACCCAUACGGUUUGCGGCAAUUAGUAAAAAUCCACCAUUAGUGGCUUUGAAUUUUAAGCUUUGAAUCAUCUAUUAAGCAUCAAAAGGUCCACUAAAUCCAUUUAUUACAGGAUUAAAACCUAGCUCUAGCUAACUCUACCAUUAAAGCCCUCAUUUUGGACCAUAUAUCUGCAACUACAUGGAAAAAUCCCCAUUAAGCUUUGGAUUCAAGUAUUAAUCAUGAGACUACCUGCUAGCAUUCCAUCUAAAUCAUUCUUAGAGAUGAAACCAACCUAAGAAAAUCACCAUUAGAGCUUAAGCCUACCUUCUGCAAAGCUUACUCCCAAACCCAAGAACAAGAUGAAGAAUGGUGAAGUCCACCUCUUGACCUUCUCUCCUUCUUCUUUCUCCCUUCUUAUCUCUUCUCCCUUCUGUUCUAUUUCGUUUAGAGAGAUUUGAGAGAGGGAGAGAGUAAUGUGAGGGAGUGAGGGAAAUGAGAAAAGAAGAGAGAAUAGACAUGCUCUCUUAAUCCCCUCUUGCAUAUUGUACAUUUCAAUAAGCCCCUCUAAUCUUCUCCAACCUGCAACAGCCCAAACUGGGUGUUUUCUGCUCGGGCACUGGACCCCCUGGUGAUGAGACCCGUCCCCGACGACCAGAAUUCAGGCAUUUUCAGACUUAGCAAAUUUUUCAGCCUUUUUCGUUUCGGGUGCCGUCUUUCGCUCGUUUUUUGCUCGUUUGACCUCCGAUUCUUUUCAAUCGAAACCGGAGACUCUCCAAACAUGUUUUCGAGCAUGUUUCCAUUCAUACUCGUUCAUCUCCGCUAAUGCCGGAUUUAGUUCAUGGUUCACGACAUUAGCCUUUCGGAUCCCGUUCCGCGCUACGCCGCCAGCGCGAAUCGCCCGAUUCACUCCGAACUUCACCAACUUCACGGAAACCCUUCAAAUGGCUCUCCAACCAAAUUUAACACGCAAUAUUCAUAAUUUUAGAAGUCCGGACCUUACAGAAAGAUGGGUUCAUGGGCGAGCCCUAAGGCCUCGCCACAGAUUGGGUGAUGAAAGUUAAAGGUUAAUGAAUGUCAUUGAACAUAGCCUAUUCUCGAACAUGUGAUCGAAUUAGUUAGCGAUGGUACAAACCUUAUUAUAUAUGCAUGCUAUCACUAUUCGAAUGAUUAUGGAUGGUAGCUAUAGUUUUCCUACUACCGCAUUAACAGCUUUUCAUGAAUAUUAUCUAUCUAUCUCCUGUUGUUGCUGUGCCCAUUGGACCUAUGUGGGAGCUCGCAGAGUCGGGCCGAGCCACUGGGAACUGAUGGAAGAUAUUCUCACCCACUUUAUUCCGUGGUAGGUACCGGUUGCCGAGAGAAGGACCGCGCAAGGGCAUCGCGCCCCGAUCAGUUGACCGUGCGUAAUAAAAUAGAUAGCUUUCCUUUUUGCAUUAGCACACUCUCAUGUUUGAGAGAGAUUUCAGGUAGGUGAGAUUGGAGCUAAUGUAUUUUGAGGAUCAAUGUAUUUCAUUUUGGAAAAUGAUGUAAAUGUAAAGAAUGUAAACUAUUAUAAUAGUUAGUUUAGAAAGCAUAAGGAAUGGAGCUACUAUGCAAUCCUACAAUGCAACAUGAAGAGAUGAGAUCAAAUGCAAUCUAAGACAUAGAAAGGAGUUCGAAAGCUUCGGGAUGACACCCCCCACCUUUUACCAACGUAGAGGUUUUAGAAGCGCUCCUCGACGAGCUUUACGAAAAGGCUUUUGCCUUCCCUAAUCCAAGAUAGCGCCGAAACGACCGUAAUUCGCCGAUUGUUCUAAGUCCGCUCGACGAAUCGCGAAAUCGACUUCGCCCCCGCGUUUGGGCACCUAUCGAUGAGGUUUACAAGGCCUCAAAUGAGAUCAAUCUCAUACUUUACAAAAUGCCCCCAUUUGGAGCCCUAGGUUUGCACAUAUAGCAAACCACCAAUAAAAUCCUAGAUUCUUGGGAUUGAUCUACUUAGAAGCAUGCUUGGGGUCCAUUUGACCCAUUCCAAAGCAUAAAACCCAAAAACCCUAAGUUUACAAAGCUAGGGUUUAGUAGCUUACCUCAAGAGCUACACCAAUGGGAAGAGGAGAGGGAGAUGGAGGUGCUCAAAGCCUUCCUCUUGAUCUCCUUCUUCUUCUCCUUCCUUGUCUUCCUCUUCUUUUCCUUCCUCUCCUUCUUGUUCUCCUUCUCCUUCUUUCCUUUCUAGAGAGAGAGGGAGAGAAAUAGAGAGAUGAGAGUGAGAGAGAGGAAUGAGAGAGUGUGAGGGAGAGAGAGGGCCCAGCCCACUCUAAUAAAGGCCAUUUUGCAUUUAGACCCCUCAACUUUUAACCCCUUGCGCAGCCCUCGCUGGGCAGUUUUCGUGCGGAGGGACCGGUCUCCCCGACUUGGGACCGGUCCCCGAGAGCGUCCCUCGGGCGCACGCGUUCGAGUACCGGUCUCUCCCCGGGAGACCGGUCCUCGGGAGACAGGUCCUCGCCUGAGAGACCGGUCCCCGAGAGCUCAAUUUUCAGGACUUAGCCAAAUCUCGGCAUUUCUCGCUGGAACCACGUUCGGGAACCGGUCCCUCACUGCCAGGGACCGGUUGCACCAUGCAACCCCGCACGCCCAGCCGAUGGGACCGGUCUCUCACCUCCAGAGACCGGUCCCCGAGAGCAACUUCAGCCCAAUAAUGCUGUUUGCAUCGUUAGCUCUCGUGGACUCAACUCCAAAGCACUUUUUGUGUUUUGGACAUUUUUAACUUCCCCAGAGGGUAUUCUCUCGACAAAUAGUCGAUCCUGGACGAAUGAUAACUCUCGAAUUUCGAGAAUUCACUUCCUUACACUUGUUCACCCAAAAGGAGUUGAAUAUGCGGCAACGGCGGUGGUUAGAGUUACUAAAAGACUACGAUGUCACUAUACUAUACCACCCCGGUAAAGCCAAUGUCGUAGCCGAUGCGUUGAGUAGAAAAUCGGCGGAUAACCUAGCGACGGCAAUUACGCCUCAACCGCUAUUGCACAAGGAAAUGCAACGUCUUGGGUUGGAAGUGGUAGCGCCGGGAGUGCCGGCUACACUUGCCGCAUUAGUUGUGCAACCGACCCUACUCGAGAGAAUCAAAGAGUCACAAGCUUCGGAUCCGUAUCUCCAAAAGGUUCGAGGUGAAGUUGAGAAAGGUAGUGCCGAAGAUUUUGGCAUUGGAGCUGAUGGCGCACUUCGAUUCCGAAAUUGAUGGUGUGUACCAAAAGAGGAUGAGUUACGAAGGGCAAUCAUGCAAGAAGCACACCAAUCCCCUUAUAGUAUACACCCCGGCGGCACCUAAAUGUACAAGGACUUAAAAGAGCAUUAUUGGUGGCCGGGCAUGAAAAGAGAUAUUGGGGAAUUCGUGGCGCAAUGUCUAACGUGCCAACAAGUGAAAGCCGAGCGCCGAUUCCCGGCAGGAAAGCUACAAAGUUUAUCUAUACCCGUUUGGAAAUGGGAAGACAUAGCGAUGGACUUUGUUACUGGUUUGCCUCGAUCACAAGGCGGACAUGAUGCGAUAUGGGUGAUAGUGGACCGAUUGACAAAGUCGGCACAUUUCUUGCCGAUACAUACUACGUGGUCGGGAGACAAGUUAGCUCAAGUCUAUCUCGAUGAGGUUGUGAGGCUUCAUGGGGUGCCGGUAUCAAUUGUAUCGGAUCGAGACCCCAGAUUCACAUCCCAUUUUUGGAAGCGUUUGCAAGACGCGCUAGGCACACGGCUCAACUUUAGCACGGCGUUUCAUCCUCAAAGUGAUGGACAGUCGGAGCGAACGAUACAAAUCCUUGAGGACUUGCUUCGAGCGUGUGUGCUAGAUUAUAGAGGAGGAUGGCAUGAUUUCUUGCCUAUGGCGGAGUUCGCCUAUAAUAACAGCUAUCAAGAAAGUAUCGCUAUGGCGCCGUUUGAGGCACUAUAUGGACGUAAGUGUCGUUCUCCUAUCCAUUGGAGCGACGUGGGCGAGAGAGCGGCUCUUAGCCCAGAUGUAGUGCGGGAGGCGGAAGAGAAAGUUCGUCUUGCCCGUCAACGGUUGGCGACGGCGCAAUCUCGGCAAAAGAGUUAUGCCGACAAGCGAAGAAAGGAUUUAGAGUUCGCGGUUGGAGACCGUGUAUUUUUGAGAGUGUCGCCAAUGCGAGGAGUCAAACGAUUUGGGGUCCGCGGGAAGCUAAGUCCCCGGUAUGUCGGACCGUUUGAGGUAUUGGAGCGUGUAGGUGCGGUAGCGUACAAGUUCGCCCUACCACCGAAACUCGCGGGAGUUCACAACAUGUUUCAUGUGUCCAAUCUCCGAAAGUAUAUUCGCAACUCGACACAUGUAUUAGAGUACGAGCCCGUAGAGUUACGCGAAGAUAUGUCUUAUGAGGAGUACCCGGUGUGCAUCCUCGAUCGAGAAGAAAGAAAGCUGCGGAGUCGCAGAAUUCCAUAUGUGAAAGUCCAGUGGAGCAACCAUGCGGCGAGAGAAGCCACUUGGGAGCUCGAGGAGACCAUGCGGCGAGAGUAUCCGCAUCUAUUUGAGUCGACGAGUUAAGGUAUGCGUAAUUUCGCGGAGGAAAUUAUUUUAAGGGGUGGAGAAUGUAAUAUACCGAAAAUUCGAAAAUAAAAUAUCGAACUUUAGUCAAAUUGACCAAAGUGCGAGGAUGGUACACUUCGGAAAGUCCGAAGGUGUUAAAAUAAUUAAAAGUGAGUUAUGGGAGGUUUUCGAGAGCUUGGGAAUCAAAUUCUGCAAAACUGCAGAUUUUGAGCUCUCGGGGACCGGUCCCUGGUGGGAGAGACCGGUCCCCGAACGCGUAUGAAGUGAGACAGCCGAAAAAUCGGCAAAGUCCUGAGAAAGUAGCUCUCGGGAACCGGUCCCUGCCUGAGAGACCGGUCCCCGAGAGACCGGUCCCCCAAGGAGAGACCGGAUGCAUCGCGCGCAGCAGCCCUGCGCUGCGCUGGGACAACCUUCGAGAACCGGUCCCUGAAGGAGAGACCGGUCCCUGCCUGCGCGAACUGCCCAGUUCGGGCAGUGUAUUAAAGUGAAAGUUGAGGGGUUUAGUUGCAAUUUGGCAACCCAAUAGCUAUGUUAUGGGGCCUAAUGAGAUAUUUCUCUCAUUUCCUCACCCUCUCACACUCUUUUCUCUCCCUCUCUCUCUCUAGAAGACAAAGGAGAGGAAGAAGACAAGGAAAAAGAAGAAGAAGAAAGUGAAGAAACUCCCUCUCCCUCAUCUCUAGCUUGGAAAAGGAGAGCUUACAAGGUAAGCUUUGAACCCUAAUCAUGGUAGAACCUAAUCUAGGGUUUGGAUUAAGCUUAAAAUGGGUUUUAUGGAAUCAUUUGAGUCUUUUGAAGCUUUCUUUUGCUUCUUUAGAGAUCAAGACUAUGGCAUGAGUGUGUUGGGUGAAGCUUGAGGUGAGCUUGACCCCUCUCAUGGUGAAAUCCAAACUAGGGUUUGGAGUGAGCUAAGAAUGGUUUAGAUGGACUAUUUAGAGUAUAAUGAAGCUAAUUUUGCUUCUCAAUGAGAUCAAACCCUAGGUUUGAUAUAUGUAUUGGAGCUAGGGCACCAAAUUGGGGCUUUUGCUCAUAGAGAUUUAUAAGUGCAAUUGACCCUCUAGAAACCUAAUUGGGGGUAUUUCCGAUGCGUUGGUGCGCUCGGAAAAGCAUUUCGAAAAGUGUACGUAAAGUUAUGAGCAAAAUGGCCUAAGAUGGCUUCGUUUUGCUGCAGGUAAAGAACGGGGAAUCUAAAAAUCUCAAGAAAAUUGUCGGAGCACCUAAGUAAACCUAUGAGGUGGGUGGUGCUUUCCAAACUUAUUGAAAUUCUCUCUAUGCCUAAUGUGUCAUUCAUUUGAGCAUAUGUUAUAUAAUUGUUGCAUGCAUUUAGGGUUAAGUAAUGAAAAGAAUGUGAUGUUUGCAUGAUUGUGAGUACAACUUGCAUAAUGAGAUGGUUGAGAACCUUAUGAAUGUUAAGAACCCUAUAUGUAUGCAUGAGAUGAAAAGUGAGUACCAAAGUGAGGCAAAAGAACCGAGUGGCACAUGACAUAGAUCGAGUGGCAUUUGAAAAUGUAAAGUAAAGUGACACUAGAGUUAGUGUGAGGCAAAGAACUAACGUGAGGUAAAGAAUGAUGACAAUGAUCAAAGCUAAAGUAAAGUGAAGCAAAGAACGUGAAAUGAGUAAAGAACAUGAAAGCUAAAGAUAGCCAAAAGCAAAGAAAUGUAAAGAACUUGAUUGCUAGAGUUAGCAACAUAAAGUGAUGUAAAGAACACUAGAGUUAGUGUAAUGACAAGAUUGAACUUACAAUCCUUUGAGUUAAGGAUUCGAUCAUACUUGCUAUGAGUUCCGUGCUCGAGGGCGGUCGCUCCCCCUCGGGCGAUGCGCUCCGGAGUUAUGCAUCACGGGUUGGAGUAAACCCGAAGGACGGUCCUAGCGGGUGAGUUCCUGCGAUGAUGGACUUAAUGUGAAGCAAGCUUAAAGUGGCGAAACCCCCGGGUUAGCCUUGAGAUUAAAGAACAGAGAGCAAAGAGUAAAGGAUAAAGAAUAAAGAACAAAGAGUAAAGACAAAGAAUGAAAGAACUUGCAUAAUUUGCAUAUAUUCAAUGUUGAGCAUAUUUCCUGCUUUUGUUCAGGCAUAUUAGCAUCAUAUUAUAGUUGGUUACUAUUCUACCUAUCCUUUCUAUUAUGCCUGAGUUAGUCCUAGUGGGAAAGUCGGUGAUGUUGAGGCCGAACCCACUGGGAACUUUGUUGUAGUUCUCACCCCACUAUUUCCACAGAGCCGGGACCGAGCGAGCCGGCGAGCGACCGAGGUAAAGGUAUCGCGCCUUAGACAGAGGCCACCAGAGUUGGGUUUACCUUUUGUUAGUAGCUACCCUAUGUUCAUC
rnacentral:lncRNA from 1 species